CUGCUGCCUGGAGAGGCUGGAGGAGCCCAGGAGCAAGCGCCCCUCCAACACGGGAGCCAAGCUGUGGGGCCGAGUGCGCAGCAAGCUGCUCCGGCAGAAGGUCCUGCAGCUGACUCUGGGCCCUAAGCUUUUAUUGGGCCGACUUCUGGUCAGAUGUUUCAUCCCCCACCUUGUCUCUGGGCCCAAAACACAUCCACAAGUGGCAGCUUCUCACGGGCAUCCAGGGGCCAUCAGGCACCGCUUUCUUCUGGGACUUGCCUAGUGACCAUUGUACAUCAGCAAGGACGGGGGUUCGGCCACUGAACAGCUUGUCUACGGCGGCGCUUGGAGCACCUGGGCCACCUCGUUGCUGAGCUGUUGGGGCGUUCCCGGCUCGGUCCUGCUGUGUAGGCACCCUGGGGUGGCUGGCUCAUUGCAGGGGAGAGGCUCUUUUCGCUACAGCUGUGCAUUGCCCCUCCUGUGGUGGGGGACGCUGGCCAUGCGUGCGUUGGGACGUCCACUCCAAGCUCGUGCUGCAGUUAGCUGACGAAGCUGCCUUGUGUCUGGGAGGCUCUCGAGGAGUGCGGGGCAGCGGCAGGUUCUGCGGGGAGGGAAAUACGGAGGA